AGGUCUACCAGAAUCUGAUGGCAAAAAAAAAUUUAAAAAUUAGCGAUUUUCAUAUGGCAAUAAAAAAAAAUUUCAUCUGUCAACUGAAAUUUCGAGGAAUUGUUUUUGGUUUGGCUUCAAAUUUCCCUUAAAAAGUGAUGAAAAUGUCGAAGAAACCCCUUCGAUCGCAAGCAAGACAUAUUGUUUUCAAUGUUUAUCAAAGAAUACUUGAUCAACAAGAUGCAGAACAUACACAAUCAUCGAUAUUGAGCCAUGUGCAAGCGUUGACUGGGGUUUCUUAUACUACAAAUAAACUUGGAUAGUUUUGAUUUAGAAUUGAUCAGAAACAAGAUAAAUGAGUUUUACACUGUUUCUUUCUCUCAAAUAGGGAUCGAUGAAGAGCGAAAAUCUUGUGAACAUGUAAUAAAAAUUGAAAAUCAGUUCAUAGAACAAGAUCAGUUAAUUGAGAUGCAGGAGGAAAGGUUUAUUAUAAAUACUGCGUUGAAGACUUUUUUUAUGGAUGUGCAGUAUUUGGAACCAUUUUCAAAUUCUUAAUUAAUUAAUAAACUCAUGAACAGAGUAAUUGGAGUUUUCAUCUAAAUUUCAAACCCCACAUUCGCCACAUUUUCAAAAAUUAUCAUUGGAUAAAUUUUUAUAUAUUUUGCAUGUAUCACACACAGAAUCAGC